UUUUUCUUUUAAACACAUCCCAACCCAAAGUAUAAGCGCCCACCUAGUCCUAUCUAGUCCAAAAAAUGCGAACUAGAACUACAUGAGACACUAUCUCUGUCGUUACGAACCUAACACUUUCUACCAAGCUUAAUCGGAAUAAGACCUCACAAACACUCACAAGUGAUAUAGGGCUUGAAAGAAAGUCUAGGUUUGGGUUUGGGUUAA
rnacentral:sRNA from 1 species